CACACAAUUAAUGCUGACCCAUGGAAGAGUUAAAAUAGAUACGAAGACUGCCAUGGAUAAUCUAUUUAAGAGACUUUACACUCUCAAGGAGGCAACCGUUUAUAUUCGCCAGCCCAGUCGCAGAACAUUCCAGACUAAAAGGAUCUAGAAGAUUCGCUUUCUCAAAGGUUCUGUAAAGGAGGGGAAUACAGCAACUGGAACAUUCCGUGGCGGCCACACCUAAAAUCAGUGUCCACUAGCCAGGGAGAGGAGUCAGGUGACUCCUCCCCUCCAGUGUGAGCUUCAUGCACUUUUGGCACCACAUUACAAUACUUUAUUUUUAUCACACAUAAUUGCCAUAGUUAUUUUUAAUUUAAGUUUGCUAUAUGCAGAUUCCUAAUGUUAAAUUCUUUAUACAUAGAACUUAAAAUGUCAGAAUGUAUGUUCACUUGUAGGUCAAGAAAAGAUAUAGCAACCUGCUCCAAACUUGGCAUGCAUAUUUACUGAUGCCAGGAAUGGAUUUCAGAAAGGUCACAACUCCAAAAGUGUCCUGUGUGUAAGUCCUAGUGAUUUCUGUAGCUCAGAAACCAAGCACAACAGAACAGCGCCAAGACCAAAGUUCUUUGUUUCAUCAAGGAGAUUACAGGAACAAACGCCACAACCCUGAAUAAGUUCCAUUACUGAUGUUGGGUUUAGGAAUAAUUUGUUACAAUAUUCAACAAUACAUAUCAAAUGAUGAAGCCUACAAAAUUCUUCUGGGCAAUAAAGAUCGAUAAAAAAUGUAAACAUUUGUCAAAAUUUCCCACAGUAAUAAUGUGGGCACUCUGCUAGUUCCCAAAACAAAGAAACUGAAAUGUCAACAAUGAGUAUUAACAGAAAAAUGUGGUAUGUCUCAGCUUCAGAAACUGUUAUUAUUGUGUUCACACACCCAUCCAAAUAAAACCUAGAAAAAUAUAAAGAAAAAACUGUGAACUUAGAAUCAAUUCGUCAUCAUGAACUCAAUGAAUAUACCAGGUAUACUAUGUUAUGGUUUCUUCUAUUAACACAUCAAUUCUUACUUUAUAAUACUGCUUACAGAACUCACACUCCAGGAAAUGUUUAACUGAAGUUUCUCCUGGUCUUCUUAGUAGAUUUAAACGUCACAGAAAUUUUCAUACAAGAAUGCUUAUGUAAACCUAUCCAUGUCCAACACAGAGGGAACAUUACAAAAUUACAGUAUCCUCUCAGAACUACUGCUGCAUGCAGCAACCAUGCAGUGAUUGUGUACAGAAGAAAAAGCAUGCCACAACAGUCACAUCCGCCCUGCAGUAUAAAAAGAGUAACAGAAAACCAAAAGUAUUUUGUAAAUUUAACAUUAGUGAUUGACAUCUGAAUUUUCAGGACCUUCAAACUUGUAAAGACAUCUUUAACCUUCUCAUUAUAAGAAUGUUUGGCAUAUGCAAAUAUUUGGUAAUGUGUACUUCACAUACAAAUAAAAUUAUCAGAAAU